AUGGUCCGCCGUCUUCUCGAGCGUCGGCGCUGCGCUCAGCCGCCGCCGUCCCAUGCCAUGGAAGCCUCCCUCCAAAACAACCUGCCAUGGCCGCCUCCCUGCCUCUCCCGCAAGUGGGCCUCUGCGCGACCAGAUCCGUUCCUCUGCGCCUCGCUCCGCGCGCCUCCAUGGUCCUCCGUCUUCCCGAGCGCCGGCGCCGCGUGCAGCCACCGCCGUCCCAUGCCAUGGCCUCCUCCUGAUGUCCAAUUCUUUUUGUUGUUGCUAUAUUCAACCUCAUCUCUGAAAUUUUACAUCUUGAUGUGUUGCUGCUAUAUGCAGGUGUAUCAAGUUUCACAAGGAGUCUGUACUGGAGGCAUACAGUAG
rnacentral:rRNA from 1 species